GUGCAUGAUUUAACGUUAUAUGCCGUAGAAAGCACUGCCUUCACACGGCAGGGGUCGCUGGUUCAAAUCCAGCCGCGCCCACCA
rnacentral:tRNA from 1 species